AGUGAAUAGAUACCCGGGUAGUCCACGCCCUAAACGAUGAUCUCUAGCUUUUUGGAGUAUCGACCCUCUGAGAGGCGAAAGCUAACGCGUUAAGAGAUCCGCCUGGGAAGUACGGCCGCAAGGCUAAAACUCAAAAGAAUAGACGGGGACUUGCACAAGCGGUGGAUCAUGCGGUUUAAUUCGAUGGUAAACGAAGAACCUCACCAGGGUUUGAAAUCCAGACGAAGUCCCGAGGAAACUUGGGAUGUCUCACAAGGACGGCUGGACAGGUGCUGCAUGGUUGUCGUCAGUUCGUGGCAUGAGCUGUUCCCUUAAGUGGGGAAACGAACGCAACCCCUAUUGCCUGUUAUAAGUGUCAGGCGAGACUGUCCGUCUCUGACGGAAGGAAGUGGGGAUGACGCCAAAUCAGCAUGGCCCUCUGAUAUCCUGGGCUACACGCAUGAUACAAUGGCCACUACAACGGGUCGCGACGGGGUUAACCCCGAGCUAAUCCUAUAAAACGUGGUCUCAGUUCGGAUUGAGGGCUGCAAUUCGCCCUC
rnacentral:rRNA from 1 species